CCUCACAAAAUAGAAAACCGACGUAUAUAUAAAAUCAUUCCUCUUCAGAAACCAUGAUGUUGCCGCUGUGAAGCACCACAGAGAAAUGAAUAGUGUUUUCAAUGUCAUUGAGCAGUGUGAGGGCAAAUGAUUGAAGACCCCAAAUAUUGAUUCAAUCUGCUUGACGUCAAUAUUAUUGAUAGUGUAGGGGCCGGUUAAAACCAUGAUCCAAAACAAUGUUUCCAAGUUUAAACACAAAUCAGAUUCAGCUCGUGUAAUGGUUAUGAAACUAAAACAUAGAUGGCACCACCUAGUUUCCAAGGACGCCAGUUCGAAAGAAGAUUGUCCUCAUCAAUGUACUACUUCGUUGUUACAACGUCCUUGAUUUGUCGUUGUUCCACCGUCCUUGAUUUGAUCACCAUCGGAAGAUUAAAGUAAUUUGAAUUUCUUUUUCGCCAAUUUAGUCUUGUUUGGGAAGUGUACUGCACAUCUCACGAAGGUCGAAGAUCCACAAUGCUGUUUGGAGUGUUUCCACAUUAGUAUACACCUCGACUACAGCUUUGCUUGCUGGCUGCUUCAGUGUACACAAGACAACUGAAGCGCAUGUUGAAGGCUGGAAUAGAAACUUCAGUUAUUGACUUGAAGUAGAAACUUGAAUGGCCACUGGAAUGUUGGAAGCUGCUACCACCAAUAUUUUUCAGGAAUGGAUAUUGGAUUUUUUAGCGCUGGACACUUGGAAUUGUUGGAAACUACUACUAAGUAUUUUUUAGCGUAGUUGAUUUUUCCAGGCCAGUUCGGAAAGAUUACGAGGAGAUUUAAAGCUGACAUGUUAAAAGUAUGAAGAACAUAACCUGGAAGAGACUUUUUGUAGCGCGCGAGGUCAUUUUAAUUCGCAGACAUUUUUGAAGAAUAAUUAUUCAAGGCAUAUUUCUCCAUGCAAGGAAAGUAUUCAUCGGUAUGAAUUGUAAGACAGCUACGAUAAGAGUGAAGUUUUCACGUGCUAAGAACUCGAAGUGGGAAUAAUGUAGUAAAAAAAGACUACGAAGCAGAGGAGAGAAAGUUACUAUUAUAUCUCUAUUAUUACGUUUACAAAUAAUUUUUAAAAAGUUAAUUUCUCCUUUCUUAAUUACUUUUUCUGGCAUUAACGACCUAAACUCUCGAGGUUAAUUAACUAUAUUACCAAAAGGUCUAUAAAAAUAAAUAACUUCUCUUAAGGGUUGCAAUUUUUUACUUAAUGGUGUUAAUCUAAAAAAUUCUUUGAAUGGUUCACCCUUCUCUCUCCUUCACAGUUUGGGGGGCGAGAAAAUCCAAUGGUUCUUUCCCUCUCUCCUUUGGGGUUUAACAGCAUAGUUUUAACUCCAAUUCUGUUUUCUAACGGUGACGACCUCUAGUUUACGUAUGAGGAUAGUGAUCCUUUUUCUGGUGGUGACGACCCUCCUUCACGUUUCGGGGUGUUGAUCAUUCUCUCCUUAACUUGGUAUCCGAGUGUUGUGACCACACUUCAUUGUGCUUAGAAAUUUUGCUUGAGUUCGUGUAUUCUAGUUGGGGAACUUAUUUUUCUCUCGCCUUCAAUUCUGCCUACUAUGAGAUUCAGGGCCUCUGUAACACGGUUGCUCCUUAUCAAAGCAUCGGAUGUAGCUGAAAGUUGACAUAUAUAUAUUGUACAACCACACAAAUUUUGUCACCAUUAUCAAUAACCUAAACCCGAUAGUUUUGAUUUUUUAUAGAGUAAAAAUUAUCUAGCCGACGCCAUGUCCAAUAAUAACGAGCCAAGAGUCGAAAAACAUUCAUUACGUAAGCAAGGUAAACACACAGUUUUACGAAAUGUUGCCCCGCCCAUCCAGCAGACAAACUCAUUCACCUUGUUUCAUCGGCUCUGAAACCCAUAGUAGUCAAGAAGGCUAACAGGAUUUGGAAUUGUCCCCGUGGUUGCAAAACUUAAAUUUGCCUUAAGACUUACUACUUUAUACGGUCAAGAAAAAGCCUGUGCCCAUACUUACUGUAGCCUGAAUAGUUAAUUAUUCAGUUUCUAGCUUAUAUCCAAUGUUUAUGGUCUGAUUUGUAUUAAGCGUAACGUGAUUAUAAUACUUGCAAUGUCAUUCAGGAUUUUGAACCUUUCCAUUAACUAUUCACUAUGCCACCAAGAGAGAGGGAAAGAGAUUGUAUGUAAACAGUCUUUAUAUAACUAUUUUUAAAAUAAUAUUUUUAUCCAAAGUAAAUACAAGCUUAUAUGUGCUAAAAUCUCCAGCAGACCAACGGAUCAUCCGAUAUAAUUUUUUUUCUUUUUUAGGCCGUACGACCGUGUUGGAUAUAAAGACUAUGAAUGGUGGAACGAUACAUAGUAGUGGGUGGGGUAUGUGUGCUAGCGUAGUAAUACUACUGUAGCAGUACUGCCGCCGCAACAGUAGUAAUAGCAGUUAACGUUUAGGCCAACUGCUGGGAUUCUUGAGGAUCAUUUAGCACUUCUUACAACUAAUCGAGAAAUGAGUUUUUAUAGCCAGAAGUUAAAUUUUCUAAUCCAACAAUGCCCAUGAUAGCCUUCAGUUUUAUCCUGAUAUAACGAGGCCAAAGUGGGUGGAUCCUCAUGUAGUCAUCAUUCUGACUAUAAUUAUUGGUGAAGGUUUAAAGCCAAAAUACGGCACCGGCUAUUUUUUUUUUUUUUUUCAGUAAAUAGGUAGAUAGCCAAUAAAUAAAAAUUGCUUGACAUUGGAUAUAGCAGUUAUCAAAUCUAGCUUGUCUACUAU